rnacentral:sRNA from 1 species
AUCGGCCAGACCGAGUAGGCGGCGAACCGCCGCCGAAAGCCGUGCCUCAAAGGAAGGAAGCUGCAACCAUCGGCGCAUAUCGCCGUAAAUAUGCACCCCGCGAGGAGCGGCGAACGCUGCUUGCAUGGCGGCGCCCUCGGGCGCUCGGCGCCGUUUCAUGCCGCCACCUCAAAGCAACUGUCCGAGCGUCCAUUGAGAGUUGUGCGGGGUGCCCUAUGAAAUCAGAAGAACG